rnacentral:rRNA from 1 species
GACGAACCGUGCGAACGUUGUUCGGAAUCACUGGACUUAAAGGGCGCGUAGGCGGGCUGUCCAGUCUGGGGUGAAAUCCCGCGGCUCAACCGUGGAACUGCCUUAGAUACUGACGGCCUCGAGGGAGAUAGGGGCAUGCGGAACUGUAGGUGGAGCGGUGAAAUGCGUUGAUAUCUACAGGAACUCCGGUGGCGAAGGCGGCGUGCUGGAUCUCUUCUGACGCUGAGGCGCGAAAGCUAGGGGAGCAAACGGG